rnacentral:lncRNA from 1 species
UAUGUUGGAGAGAAUCUUAGUGUGCUCCUUGGCAGCCAACAUAAGCUUCUAUGACUAUGCAAGUCAAUUUUUCUCAUGUUAUCACUAGAAUUGAAAUUGAAUAUUGAUGAUGAGCAAAGGCAUGGAGCUACAUUUUCUUCUUCUUCUUCAAAUUCCCUUCAAGCUUUUACUCAUUGAUACUCUAUCAGAUGCCUUUGAGCUCAACAAAUCAAAAAUUCGAAGAAAGUCUACUCUUGUGGAAGGACUCUGGAUUUUCUUGGUUGGCUGCCCCAUUUAAACCAGUGAGAUAAUGCCACCCAUAGCCUCUUUCGAUCUCCCCCCCUCCACGGCCCCGUGCCUCUUACACCUUUUCUUCGUUGCCUUCUCUAUCUUGACAUACCUCUCUCUAUCCUCUACUCCCCCGCUUGGAUUGAGCUCGCUCUCCUACUCCCUGACACCGUCUUUACUUUUCCAUCUCCUACUUUCUUUCUCUUGCAUACGGUAAACUUUCUUCUCUAUUUGUUUCUCUCUAAAAUUUAUUUGAUCUAGUCAUUUCUCUUCUCCAACAAUGUUUUUAUGUUUAAGUCUAACUCUUGGCUCUUUUCUUCCUUAAUUAGGAGAAGCAGCUAGGGGCUCUUUUAUAAAAACAGAAGAGGAGGAUGGAAGUCCUGAAGAUUUGCUUAUAGAAUUAUUAGCAUUUUUAUUUGAAUUAAUUAUCCUAUUACGUAUGUUGCAAUAGAAUGCUAUAUGUUUAAAAAAAUCCAUAUUGAUAGGUAAAGGUUAAUGUUUUGUAUAUCUAUUGUAAGCAACUUUUCAUGCAUAGUUGAUCAAAUUUUCUAACUAAACAAAAUUAAUUAAGAUCUUAUUGUAUUUGAUCUGGGGAAAAU